rnacentral:rRNA from 1 species
AGCAGCCGCGGUAAUUCCAGCUCCAAUAGCGUAUAUUAAAGUUGUUGCAGUUAAAAAGCUCGUAGUUGAAUUUCGGAAUCUGUCCAUCGGUCGGGCUUCACUGUCCGUACUGGUGUGGUGGGUUCUUACCUUCUGAAUAACCAGCAUGCCAUUCACUUGGUGCGCUGGGGAAGCAGGACUAUUACCUUGAAAAAAUUAGAGUGCUCAAAGCAGGCUAGUGCCUGAAUACAUUAGCAUGGAAUAAUAAAAUAGGACGGCAUGGUUCUAUUUUGUUGGUUUCUAGGAUCACCGUAAUGAUUAAUAGGGAUAGUUGGGGGCAUUAGUAUUCAAUUGUCAGAGGUGAAAUUCUUGGAUUUAUUGAAGACUAACUACUGCGAAAGCAUUUGCCAAGGAUGUUUUCAUUAAUCAAGAACGAAAGUUAGGGGAUCGAAGACGAUCAGAUACCGUCGUAGUCUUAACAGUAAACUAUGCCGACUAGGGAUCGGAUGAUGUUAAUUUUUUAAUGACUCA